rnacentral:tRNA from 3 species
AGGGGCGUAGGUUCAACGGUAGACCGCCGGUCUCCAAAACCGGAUGUGGGGGUUCGAAUCCCUCCGCCCCUGCCA